AAACAUUUCAUGCAGACAGUUUGCACGUGAAGGUGGUUUUUCCAGGGUAAGGCUCAUCCAUCGCACUCCGGGUAUGCUGACCCCUGUGAUUUUUCCAAAUGCAGGAAACUCGACUGCAUAAUUUGCUGGAU